CAACAAGCGAUGAUAGGAACAAGUAGACGACUUCGAUUCUUUCAGAGAGCCGGUGGCCGCUGUGAACCGGUAGAUAGUCGGCGUUGAAUGGGUCCUGGAGCUGACAGUUGAACGAUGCGGGCACACCUCGGCUGUACGGCCGUGCAGGCAGGCUCGGUCUAAGGCUGUUUCCGGCACUCCUCCGUUACGGGAGCAAUGAGGUUUUUCACCGGACGUUACACGGUGGAUUACGAAUUAGGGUGGCACCACGGUCCUUCGUCCCUUGC
rnacentral:ncRNA from 1 species